UUCACUUGUGAAAUAAAACUUAAUGGACAGGUGCAAACAAUAAAUUCUGUUUUGCAACCCAGAACUCUGUUCAGUAAGAACUUUGAUACAUAUAGGAAGGAAUUUU
rnacentral:snoRNA from 1 species